AGAGUUUGAUCAUGGCUCAGAACGAACGCUGGCGGCGUGGAUAAGACAUGCAAGUCGAACGAGUUUAAUUCCGGAGUAAUCUGGGAUUGAGCUAGUGGCGAACGGGUGCGUAACACGUGAGUGAUCUACCUGAAAGUGGGGGAUAGCUCGUCGAAAGGCGAAUUAAUACCGCAUGUGACCCGAAGCAAUUCGGGUUAAAGCCGGGGCAACUUGGCGCUUUUAGAGGAACUCGCGGCCUAUCAGCUUGUUGGCGAGGUAAUGGCUCACCAAGGCUUCGACGGGUAGCUGGUCUGAGAGGACGACCAGCCACACUGGAACUGAGACACGGUCCAGACACCUACGGGUGGCAGCAGUCGAGAAUUUUUCUCAAUGGGGGAAACCCUGAAGGAGCGACGCCGCGUGGAGGAUGAAGGCUUUCGGGUUGUAAACUCCUGUCAUUUGGGAACAAAGCCUUACGUUAACUGCGUGGAGGUUUGAUAGUACCGAAAGAGGAAGAGACGGCUAACUCUGUGCCAGCAGCCGCGGUAAUACAGAGGUCUCAAGCGUUGUUCGGAUUUAUUGGGCGUAAAGGGCGCGUAGGCGGCGGGGUAAGUCGGGUGUGAAAUCUCAGGGCUCAACCCUGAAACUGCACUUGAUACUGCUCUGCUUGAGGACUGGAGAGGAGACUGGAAUUCACGGUGUAGCAGUGAAAUGCGUAGAUAUCGUGAGGAAGACCAGUGGCGAAGGCGGGUCUCUGGACAGUUCCUGACGCUGAGGCGCGAAGGCCAGGGGAGCAAACGGGAUUAGAUACCCUAGUAGUCC
rnacentral:rRNA from 1 species